rnacentral:lncRNA from 1 species
UUCAUCCACAUGGGUUGUUGGGAUGAUGUGAGAGUUGGAUCCCACUAGGAAUCCAACUUAUCAUGAUAAGAGACCUUAAUAAGGAUUAGGAUGAUCCAAUUAAGUAUUUAAAAUGAGCAGGACUCUUAUCCAAUUAAGUAUUGAAAACAAGGUAUGCGAAACCGGUACCGUCGGCCGUUUCGAUCGGCCGACGGUACGGUUCGGUAGGUUUCAUACCGUACCAAACCGACGAUCCGAACCGGAAGAAAAAAAGAGAGAAAUAGAGAGA